GAUUGGCGAUCAUAUACGGACGACAUCAAUCUGGCGAUGCAUUUUUUUGGAUAACGACGAUAUAAAUUAUAGGCGAAUCGUAACAAUUCCAAUCAUAAAUUUAUUAGGGCGUGGAAUGGAUUCUAAUUUACCACUUAUUGAUAGUAUUUUCAAAUGCUCGGCAUUCCAGGAAUGUAAAAGUGCUUUUCCGUUAGGUCUUCUAAACCAGUAAGUCCUUGGUUGGGAGACUUUUUACGGACUUUGUAAGGACCUUCCCAUGCUGGGCCGAGUUCCCACGCAUUUGGUCUUUAGUGACGGGUAACAUUCGUAAGACCAGGUCGUGGGAAGGAAUGAUCGGUGUUGACCCUUUGAUUAUAAUACUUGGCGACUUGCACUUGUAAGCCAUUUGACGUAGCUCGGCCUUUCUCUCUUUUCCCCUCGAGGAAGCCAGAUUGAUUCUGAGCUCGGCCUCAUUGCUUCUUUGUCGAAAUUCGAGUCCGGUAGCUUUGGCAUACCUAUUUCCACCGGUAUGACCGAUUCAGUACCGAAGACCAUGGAGUAUGGAGUUUCGCCUGUAGGAACCGGCUAGUAGUAUGAAAGCCCAAAGUAUGCUUGACAAGGCUUCGCCCACUCGCUUUUUGACCUUUCAACCUCACCUUCAAAUUCCUGAGGAUGGUAUGAUUGGUCACUUCAACUUGCCCGUUAGCCAUGAGGAUGACCGGGCGAGGAGAAAUGGUAGAGAUGGUGAGAUCCGAGCAGAAUGUCCUAAACUUGUCGUGUCGAACUGCCUUGCGUUUCCGAUAUGAUAACCUUUGGAUUCCGAAUUCUACAAAAAGGCGCUCUAUACGAAAAUCCCUGAGUAUUUUUCUCAGUAAUCUUGACGAGAGGGCUGAGCUUCUAUCCAUUAGUAACAUAGUCUAUGGUGAUGAUCAAAAGUUCCUCUGCAAAGGAGCUUGUGGUAGGGGACCCAGUAGUUUGCUAUCCCCCAUUGGGCGAGUCUUCACUUCCCCGCCACAGUCUUUUUACCCACUCUGGUGGCCAAGGGCUUGACAUUGGCUACCAUCUCAGUGUGAGGGAGACAGCUGAGGGGGCAAACCUCUGACACUUGUAGCCAUUUCUGUGUAUUAUGCGGGCCGCCAUCCCGUCUAUGGUCGCCAAAAAUAUCCUUGACGAAUGGUUUUCUUCGCCAAUGACCUCGCUCGGUUGAUUGUGAUUUUCGCAGAUACCUUCGUGUAUUCUUCAAAAUGUAUUCUGCCUCUUCUGGUCAGAGACAUUUCAAGAGUGGUCCUGAAAAGACCUUUUGUUAGUUGCCUUUGAAAAAUGCAAAAUCUUGCGGAUCUGUUUGGAACGGCGAGCUUGGAGCUAUCUUGUGGCAGGAUUCCUUUCUGGAGAUAGGCAAUAUCUCGUCCAUUUCACGUCGGAUUUUCUUCCAUCUAGAGGAUUUGAUUGGCGACCCCAAUGCUUGGGUUAGCUGGAAUUCAGAGGUAUGCACCUGUUUUUAGAAAUAAACUCAAAAGUUGAUGCCAGCGUAGCUAAGGCGUCUGCCUUUAUAUCCUCUCGGGGAUCUGGGGGAUGUAAAAUUCCUUGAUCUUUGCGGGGACGAGCUUUACCUCGCCCAAAUAAGCCAUCAUUCUUGAGUCCUUGGCGAGGUAGUCUCCUGGGACUUGGUACCACAGUUGUGAAUCACUGAAGACUUCAAAGAUUGCCGCUCCCAACUCCGUGGCUAUCUUAGUCCGGCGGAGGAGGGCUUCGUACCGGCUUCAUUGUUAGUGGCUUUAAAUCCCCUUCUUAGGCGUAACUCCAUUGUUCGCCUGAUGGAGCUCGUAUGACGAGUCCUGCACCAACAACCGUGCGGGGGGGGGGGGGGGGGGGGGGGGGGGGGGGGGAUGGUUAGAAGAAGCCAUCGACGAAUAAUAUCCAGUGGGCGAGGUCUUUUUUUGAGGUUGGUUCUUUAGGAAUCCCGCUUCAAGAGGACCCGUUUCUGGUUAUGGAGUGUCUUUAGGUGGUUUUUGACAAUGAAAUCAGCCAGGCCUGGAAUUUUAUUACCGUCCUUGGCUUGUACUUCAAUGUGGAACUCACUUAGUCGAUGGGACCGUUAGGAGUCGACCUGAUGUGUCUGGUCGCUUGAAGAAUAUGCUUCAUGGUUGAUCAGUCAGUACUAUGAUGGGAUGGGCUGCUGAACGUAAUGACGAAAGUUUUCUCGCGGCGAUCAUUAGGCGUAGGCGGUUUUCGAUCUUCGGAUAUCUGGUCUUGCACCCCUUAAGACUUUGGUAAAGUAGUAAAUUGGCCUUUGGACUUGAUGUCUCUUCUCGGAUGAGCACGACACUCACCGCGGUGGCGGAUGGAUAAAAUACGUAAAGGUCGUCGCCGGUGGUUAGGGACGGUGAGUAAAGGCGGAGACCGAGAUACUCUUUAGAGUUGGAAUGCAUUUUCAGAUCCUCAUUCCAUUGAAAGGCCUGGUUUUUUUUAGGCUUCUGAAGAAGGGGGCAUUUGUCCGUAGACUUGGAGACAAAUGUUGAGAGGCGGCUACCGCCCAGUCAGCUACUGUACUUCUCGAUAUUUUUAGGCGAGGCUUUCAUCGGCGGUUAGGGCUUGGAAUUUGAUCUGGGUUUACCUCAAUUCCACGCUUGGUAUCAAAAAUCUUAAAAAUUUUUCCGGACGACACUCCCAAAAGAUACACUUGAGGAUCAACAUCAUCCGGAUGGCGACGCAGGAUGCUAAAUGCUCUUCAAGUUGGGGACCAAUUGGUCGGAUGAUCGGAGACUUUUGACUAGCAUAUUCAUUAUGUAUACUUCCAGGUCUCCCAAUUUGUUCCUUGAACAUCUUAUGACUAACCUCUGAUACGUCACCCCAACGUCUCAAUCCGAAUGCAUGACUUUAUAACAAUAUAGCCCUCGCUUUGUGAUAAGAAGGUUUUCUCGAUAUCAGGAGGGUACUUUGAUAUGGUGAUACCUGAGAAGGCGUCCAUAAAACUCAGGAGCCUCGGGCUUGGAGGUGGCGUCGACUAGUAGUCGAUUUGCGGCAAGAGAAAACGGUCUUUGGGCAAGCUUUGUUGAGGUCGGUUGAAUCGACGGCAUUACUUCCACUUCCUCUUUUUUAGGGGAGACCACGGACAUUGGCGAAGCCAAUCCGGUAGUGGGUUCUCGGGACGACGUUAGCUCUGAUGAGCUUAUUCAUUUCGUCUUCAAUAACUUUUAGGCCGUUCAGGGGUGAACUUCUUCACUUUUGGUGAACUGGAGAAUGUUUUGGGCGGUAAAACAGUUUGUGCAUGCGCGGAUUAGGAUCAAUGCUAGGAACGUUCCUGUGACUAGGCGAAUACGUCGGAUUGUCUUUUAAGAAGUUUAUUAAGGGGGCGAAACGAAGCUCAUGGUAAGUUCUGUGCCGAUCAUGAUAUGGCGAUAGGAUAUUCUAGAUGUAUGGAGAUGGGGACGAUCUUUCAAGAGGCUGGUGUUAUUGGUUUCUCUGGGGCUGCCAGGGUGAGUUGUUCCACUUCAUCUCUGAGUUCCACUUCAUCCUGGAGUUACCUCGUAUCGUCGCCCACGUUCGUAAUUACUAUUGGAAUGGGCGGAACUGAAGAGGUUUCGACCCUCAUGGUGCAAUGAAGCUUGCCUGGCCACUUUCUGAUCGCCCUCGAUCUCGCUAUCCCUGUGGGUGGGAAACAUUAGCUUCAGGUGAUCGACGAGGGAUCGGCCUUGAUUCCUCCUUAAAAGUGUCGCCCCAAGAUGCGUAUAGGGCAAGGGCAUCUACCACAAAUAAAAAUUCUGCCAUACGUGGUUUGGUGGGGUUCAGUUCCCGAGUUAUCGUCAAAUGAUCUAUCCCAAGGGGUGCGUCUUAUCCCUCCAAAUCGAUCAGGGGAGUAUGGAAAGGGUGCAACUUGUCCAGCCCAAUUUCAUUUUUUUUUGAACGCUGAGAUGAACAGAUAUCGGAGCUCCGUUGUCGAUUAAAAAUCCUCUGAACGUUAAAAUUGGCGAGAGGCUGAGACAAACCAGGGCAUCGUCGUGGGUAGGUGCCAAGCCUCUCAAAUCCAUCAUUGCUGAAGGUGAUGGGUGUUUGAGUCAGCAACAAAUGCGAGGAGGAGGUUAUAGACUUCCUUCCUCGGACGAUCUAUGGGACUCUAGAUCUGCCUUUUCCAUGGAUGAAGUCGAAUAACGUCCGAUCCGAAACCUCUUUAUGGAUUGUUUGUAUAUUGCCGCAGUUGGCUUUGUUGCUGUACCUUCUUUCUGGGGAGUUGGGUGGUGGGCGAGUAGCGACAUAUGUUCUCAGGUAACCCCUUUUAAUGAGGUCGGCGCAUCUGUUCUUCAGUUGAAAAUAGUCCUCAGUAUUGUGUCGUGGUCCCGGUGGAAUUCACAAUAUUUGUUCCUGUUCCUAUUCUGGGGGUCAGUCUUGAUCUUCCCGGGCAUUGAGAAUUCUUCGUGGCUUAAUUCCGAGAGUACUUGGGCGACAGGGGCGUUGAGUGGAGGUAGAAUAAACUCAAGUCGGCGAGGCGGGGUGCGAGGGACGCCUAAUCGCUAGACCGUUUGGGAUCCGGUCAGGUUUUUUUUUUGUACCUCAUUUCCUCCCUAUAACAGUCGCCUAGUAUCAGGCUCUUUCCUCUAGCUCAUUUUCCUCGUCGCCUUCGUUUAACCGGCUAACUCUUCUGCGGCGAUAUCACUUGUCGGCUUUGCUCUGGGCGUGGAUAAGUCUCAGGGACGCUUUUGGAACGGGAGUCGAACAGGGGACAGGUCAGAGUCCUUCCAUCAUUGCCAUGAUAACUUACUUUAUAGCUGGAUCUUCAACUUCUAAUAUGGCAUGAUUGAAUGUUUCACAAAAUCUUUACGCUCUCGGUCUCCCUUUUGGUGAUCGGUGAAACAAGUGGGAAGCAUUCUUCUGUCGAUUCUGCACUCAUGAAAUUGGCAACAAAGAGUCGAUUAGCUCGCCAAAAGAGUCUACGGUUCUUGGCGCUAGUUUUCGAAACUACGGACUUGGCCGGUCAUUUCAAAGUGGCGGAGAACGUGCACAAAACUCAUCGAGCAACCCAUGAAGAGAAAUAGGUUUGUACGAGUCCAGGUGAUCCAUCGGAUCUGUCUACCCUUCAUAAAUGCCGAGCUGAGUUGGGAGCUUGAACUUCGAAGAGAUCCGAGCUCUAUACCCUUCCGUGAAUGGCGGAUCUGUUUGUCUGACCAGAGUAUACACAGUUACUGGAGCAUUUGUCCCAGUGUUAAUGGCGUCUAGCCGGGGUCCAAAUCUCGAAUCUUCUGCGAGGUGGAGUGUUCGUGCCCGAUCUGAUCGCUUUGUGGGGACUCCUUCCCUCCACCUGGCCGAGUUUGACUAGAUUCUGAUGAGGAAACUCCUUUCAUGUAAGGACGGAUUGAUGCCGGAUGCCUACCCCUUGCUCGUUCGGACUGAUGUGUGAAAACGAUCCCAGAACGAUUAGAGUGUCGAGAUCGUUCAUAUCAGGGAGGAUGGUGCGCCGGAAGUGGGGGGUUGGCAGCAGUGGAGAAGUUGCAUUAGGUGACCAUAUUUUCGUUUCAUGAUUCCUCAUCUGCUAGCCCUAUCGUAUAUCUCACAGUGGAGGCCUUCUAGAUUUGGAACUUGGCCGGUGGCCAUAGGAUGGGAUCUGUUACCAGGGGCUACUGGCACUUGGUCUGGGAGCUUGCGGGCUGUGGCCAAGUGCAUAGAAAAUCGAGGAAUGUCGUUCCCACGACGACCGCAAACGUUGUGUAAAAAACUAGGGCUAGCAACAACAGGGUCAAUAUUGUGUUCUCGAAUUGGACCUCGGAACUUUUAAGGGGCGACCGCACAGAGGAACAGAAGUAAAUGGCCGGGCGAGCCACUCAAAACCCCUCCGGCGUGGAGAUCAGACCAAAGGCGAUGACAGCGGGUAAAAGAGCUCAGAAGAGAGGUAGAGUAUGUUGAGCGUACCAUUUGUAUAAUUGGGGAGCGGCUUUUUUAGACGGAGUAAUGGGGCCGUGCCCAUGGAUCACGCGAGAUCCUCGGAAAGAUGAGUAUGGAAAGAUAUCUCGGAGAGUAGGAGACAUAAUUGGAAAGAUUGCCAUCUGGAGAGGAUCCGUAAUGUCGGUCGUGGAGGAGCAAAUCUCGUGAUGGGCGUAUAGGAUAGGAAUCUGGUGGAGAUGAUCUUGGGGGGGGGGUUGGGGGAUGUGGGGUGUUGUUUUUUUUUUUGUUUUCUUUUUUUUUAAAGCCAAGUAUUCUACCUCGCCCAAGGGCGAGGGAGGCGACUCACUUUUUGGGCUUGGGGGUGAGGCUCAAUGAGAGCCUGGCGAGGGUUCCAUGAUGAACGUGGAUUGUUUUACCUUGGUCAAGAGGUGGAGAUAAGCAAUCUUUGGGGAGAAUCAUGGGCGACCAGUUCUGUGAUGGAAGACGUACGGCCUUGGUCGGUGGAGAAUUUCCCACAUCAAGAUUAGUGAAAAUUUUUUAUGACCAUUAUUACUAUUAAUCUGAUAAUUUAUUUUCUUCCCUUUCUACUGAUUUGAAUCCCCCUUUAGGUUUUUGAUCCCUGUAAUUUAUUUUAAAAAAAAAAUCGGCUUCCACUUUUAGUUUUCUUUUUUGUCGGUGGUUGAGGACAGUUUUAACCUUUGACUUUGCUAUGGCUGUGUAAUUUUUCCCCCUGUUUUUGGAAGAGCUCUGUGAAGGGGUUCUUUUCACAGCUGUGAUUUUCAUCUUCUUUUUUUUUUUUUUUUAUCAAGUAAAAAGUAUUAAGGUCAAAAAGUUGAAUCUCCGGAUUAUACCAAGAGGAAACAAAAGGGCAAAAGGCCUCAACCGAAACAUACCUACAAUUGUAAUACAACGCAGCUCUAUGCCUCAACAAGGCUGUAAAUAAAUCCCACAACCGGAAGCAACCAAACUAAAAAGUGAUUAUCUCAAUUUUAGAAAGCCUAAAGCCUGCCCCAUCAAAUAUCCAGAGACAGCCACAAUAUCACAAAAACAACACAUCACUCACAAUUGCAACACAAUAUUAUAACCAUCGCAACUCGCAGACCAAUACUGGAAACUAAUCUUUGUGGUCUCAAAACUAAUACGGAUUAAACCCACACAAAAGACAAUAAAAGAUUUAUGGUUCGGCCAACGAUGCCUACAUCCCGAGAGAAAUCACAAUCCACUAUCAAACAAAUGGAUUUACAACGGAGGAGAUCACCUCCAACUCACACCCUCUCUCAAAUCUCUCUCUGUCUUUUGCCUCUCAUCUCAUCUCACAGCAAUGGGGGGGGGGGGGGGGGGGGGGGAGCAGAGGAGAAGGGCUCUGUUCUCUCCUCCCCCCCCCCCCUCCCUUAGAAAAUCUAAGCACCCUACCAUCCCUUUUAUAGACCAAGGGAAAGAGGUGGUGACUCCUAUCAGAAUACCUAAUCUUAUCCUAAUCUAUCUAGGAAAACAAAAGGGUGAUAGAAAGACCUCUCCAAGAGUUCUAGAUAACUCGAGAGUUUCACUGUCACAUGGACACUCCUAUGGGGGGGGGGGGAACUUCAAUGGCUUGGGCUUCGCUACUGGACUCGGACUCAUCCAAGUGGCUUGGACUCAUCCAGAUGGGCUGGACUCAACAAUCUCCCCCUCCACCCACUAGAGGGUAAUUGACGUCUCAAGUUUGUCCUUCCUGACAGCUUUCUGAUCAGCUCCCCCAUAAGACUGCAAGACAUCAUCCGAGAAUCUUACCUCAUCACAGUACUCCACUUUCCCACCACAGUUGGCCUUCACCUCCACACUGAAGUGGCUGCACCUUCUCACUGAGGUCCCUGCACCCCCACUAUGGUGCCCCCCACCGGGGUGGAGCCACAAAGUAUGUCAACUUUGCAGUUUUCGUGGCUCCAUCUCUCCUCCCUUGUGCACACCACGAUAGAGAUCCACCGCCACUGAUCAAAUCGAGAGCAAAAGAGACUCGCUUCGGCAUCACCGCGCCCUUCGCUGUACAGCUUCUCAAAAUCGACUUGGUCUCCUUCCUCUGAGCUUCUCUAUGGACAUCCUUCCUAGUUGCACCACUCGUGCUGGCCAGACUUCCGUACAUAUCCCAAGUAUCUCCCUGCGCUCUGUACCACUCCGGAUUCUCUAGGGUACCCCUGCGCUUACUUUGUGUACCUCUGUGCAAACGGUGCUUCCCUUGUCCACUCUGUCUCGCUAUAUCCACUAGACCCAUGUCGGACAGUAGCUCCCCCUGUCUGACACUCCCUCCAAUCGGUAUAGUCCUCCUUCUUCUUUCCCCACAGCUCUCCUUGUUUUUCCUUGAAACUCGAGAGUUCCUCCACUAGCAUCAAGUUGCAUCCCUUUACUCUAGCAUCCCAAUAGAAAUCAAUUUUUCGUAGAUUAGAACAUGCCUUACCUCAGUCACGUCCCACAGACCUCUUGUCUGCCAUGCGAAACCGGACUGACCCUCUGCCAACAACUCUCUAGACGUGUUGUUCGCCCAUCCAUAUACGUCCUCGCAUGGUGCAUAUUUAAGAACACCUCUCUAUCUCUGCACAUGGUUAAGACUGCUGAUCCAAUAACCCAAUCUGACUUUCCAUCUUCCGAUGCUACUGGAGAACGUCAAACUCAUCCUCAUCCUCAGCCAUCACUAUUUGUUCCGCUGUUUGUAUUUGAAGACUGAUCAUGUGCUUUAUACUUUGACCAUCCCUCUUGAUUGUCCCUCCUGGUAGAAAUAAAGCCCUAAUAGUGCGACCUCUCCCUGUGACCACCGUCCUUUUUCAGUACCCUUAUGAUGACCUCUUCCUUGACCUCAGCCUUUUCCCUGCUUCUCUUGAAACUAGGGCUGGACUCACUCUGAUCUGUCGAACCCAUCUCUCUCCUCCUAGUCCUCUUCAUGACCGGGCAUCCAUGACCAUAAUCGUAGUUCCUUCUUAGUCGGCGUCUGAUUGCGAGAGAAACCACCAUGGCCUCUCAACUCUCUGGCAAGGAACUCAGAGCAAUAAGGCCGCACCUCGUCGCAACUGUAGGUCACACUAGUCAACCUAAUUGACCAAAUUUUUAGAAUUCCCUCGUAGUUUCCGCCACUGUAGUCUUUCUCCUGAGUUUUUAAAUCACAAGCCUCCUCAUCAAUAAAGGCUUUAUUUCGAGAAUGUCUUCGCCUGGCCAUUCUCCUCCAACUGAUCCACACACCUCACAAGCACUCGUCUCCGGUGCUUACAUAUGGAAACACCUCGUGUCAAUGCACUGUCUAAGCCCAAUCGCCUUCACUAUUCAUUUUCCUCCAUUCCUUCUCAUCCUUCUUCACUAAAGUUUUUCCUCCCUCUUUAAUUCUCCAAAUGGUUCGUGCAAAUCCUUGCCAAAUAGGAUGUCCGACAUCUAGGUUUCCAUAUGGCAUAAUUCGCGUCCUGAAAAGUACGAUCUCGAACCAAUUAUGGCACUUUGCCAUCUGAUUUCUCUCAAUAGAAGCAAAAUUUUUGAAAACCUACCCCGCAAUGAUCCAAGAAUGCUGAGAAAUCUCCAACGAAGGCUAAACUGUCAAUCAAAAAACUUCUAGGACCAAACUGUCAAAAUUAGAAAUUUUGGGCCAAAUCACAACAAAAUUCAAAAUUUGGGGUCCCAUUUUGACAAAUCAAAAACUUUUUCUUUGGGACCAAAUUGAAAUAUCCGAACUUCAGGACUAAACUGUAUUAUCAGUAACUCUAGGGACCAUCUUACUUCAAUAGAAACUCUAGGGAACCAAACUGUAAUUACUCAAAAAUCCAGGGCAAAAGUGUAAUUUACUCAAAACAGUCAACGGUCAACAGAUCAAGUCAACGGUCAAUGCUGACUGGGCGCUGACACGUGGCGCGUGGCGGUCGUGGCUGAGACGAUUUCAAAACGGCUCCGUGGGGGCGCGUUGGACACGUUUUCGCGAGUUUGGUGCUGGGCUCCGUAUCAACGAGAGGAAUCCCUGGUGCAAUCAAAAAAUUCAUUUUAGUGCACUUUCCAUACACCCAAAUUUCGACUUGGGCUCCGAAUUGCUCCACUAGGCUCUGAUACCAAUUGUUGUGCUCAAAACUAAUUACGGAUCACACACACACAAAGACAAUAAGAUUUAACGUGAUUCGCCAACUAUGCCUACAUCCACGGAGAGAAAUCACAAUCCACUAUCAAACGAUGGAAUUACAACGGAGGAUACUCACCUUUCAACUCACCCCCUCCCUCUCCCCAUCUCUCCUGUCUUGCCUCUCAAUCUCUACCUCACAGCACUAUCUGCUCUCAAGCCCACAACACAACGAACGUAGAAAUCUAGAGCCCCCUACCAUCCCUUUUAUAGACCAAGGGAAGAAGGUGAGUGGACUCUACCAGAACCUAUCAUUAUCCUAAUCUAUCUAGGAAACAAAGAUAAGACUAUCCAGAGUUCUAGAUAACUCGGAGUUUCAUCACCGUCACAUGGAAACUCCAUAUGAACUACAAUCGGGCUUGGGUUGGCUACUGGAUUUGGACUCAUCCAAGUGGGGCUGGACUCAUCCAGAAUGGGUUGGACACAAAUAUAAUUCCACUUUUUGUCACUAAGGCACACCUUUGAUCAUUAACUAAUUCGGCCCUCCCUGCUUGCUUCUUUUUCAAUUCUUUUUCCUUACAUAAAUUCCCUUUUUAGCUAAAGGGGAAAAGGGAGGAUUGAAGAGGAAGAUGCCUGAGUUCUUUCUGCCUUCGUGGAAUGCGCUUUGCAAUACAACCAGCCUUCCUAAUUCUUUGGGAGGUGUUCUAAUUCUGGGCGGCAUUGAGAUAGCCAAAAACUUUGAGAUUUGGUGUUUUAGUUUGUUUUUUUUGAACGGCAAAGAAGAAGAGAGAAAGGAGAACAAAAUUACAACACAGAGGAAAACACCAGCCAAAAAUGUUGAUAAGAAAUCAACCAACAAAUCAGAACCUCAACAACUACCUAAGUAUUCCUAUCAACUAAGAUAAAUGUAACAAAACAAACCUAGAUGCUAGCAGCUUUGGACAUCCUAUCCUCGCGACUUAUCUGCACCGUAGCAAAAUCCUCGAACCUUACGGCCCACACAAACCAACAACUUUACCUCACGGAACCCAAUGAGAACAUUCUGACUCAAACACUGAGAUUCAACAAGGGGUGAUCUUCGUUACCCUCAUGAAAUCCCAUAUCAGAGAACUGCUUAUGGACCAUAACCAAAAAUAAAACUAAACUGAACAUUCCUAGAUAACACCCAACUACCAACCAACAUAGCAUCAGAGGAAGUACUCUGCACUAGCCACUUCUGAAAUCAUCUAAAUAUAUGUCAUAACAUUGUUAAAUCUCUACCAUCCUUGCUUGAUGAUAACCCUGGGUAAUAAGAGCUCAGAUAUCCCAGCCAAUCCACUGGCUUAUUACCAAACACCUUUGGUUUUUGACAUUCCAGCAGCCCGCAACCACAACCAAAGGGAUUGGAGCCCAGAGCACUUUGACACCUUGGCUGCUAAGCCAGACACUCCACCAGUGAAACAGCUUAUAGAGAUGCAGGAUGCCCAGGAUAUGCCACAACCACCUUAACUUGCAAACCCACAAUCCCAAAUAGAGGAAGUACGUUGCUCAACAAAUGGACUAAAAAUUCAAGUAUCAUUUGAGGAGCAACCAUCGCCAAACUAGCUGAGCAGCCUAUCAAAGGCAACCACCACACCAGAUACAAUCAAAUUCAUCAGCAUACAUACUAGAGCUUAUAUUUUUUCCUAUCCAACAGAGCUCUUCUAAUGAAAAUCCCAUCUCUAAAAAUUCCUCAAACCUUGCCAAUACAUUGCCCAAAAACGAGAAUGACUCCACUUAUGAAGCAAAAUACCUACUACUACAACAAGAGGAUCUAACUUUCUAACUUGAAAAUUAGAUCUCCAUAUAGUUACUUAGACCACUAGCACUUCCAUCAGUAUCACAUGAACAGAAUCAGCAUAGAAUUACCCAAAUGACGGGGAGAUUAUUAGACUUAAGUUCCUUAACUUUGUUUUCUGUAGAAAUCACAUACCACUAUCUGAUUACUGACCAAAUUCUUCACUUUACACUUUACACUCUUAUCUCUCAUUUCUAAUCUUCACUAACUUUUAGAGAGAGAUUUUGCAUACUGCCCUGAUUAGCAGUGAUCGUAUAAUACUAAAUUGGGGAUUGAAGAACUAGGAGAAUAGACCUCAGUUCGGCAUCCUUAUCAUUAACCAGAUUCUCCUAAUGACUUCUUCGUAUUUCCUGUGAAUCAUUUCCUCAUAAUUUUUGGUGACAACCAAGCAGCUUUUGAUUCACUUAGGAAAAAUCUGUUCUGUGAUAAUCCCUUAUGUGGAAAACGAAAAUACAGCAGCGGCCAUAGCUGAACGAAACACUGAACCACACACACUUUUGCUUUGCUCUUCUUUCGCCUCUCUCUAAACCUUACAGGUUUUUUGCUAAUCCAAAAUGUCCUCUGAUUGAUCUCUACUUCCUUUUUGGUUUAUUCACCAGAUUUUUAUUCAUCUUAGAUAUUGGCAGGCAAGAUGGAACCUUUGGAGGAGUCAUUCAGAUUAUUGGGGUUUUCUUUCUUAUUGAGAGAAAAUCAAUACUAAGAUUAUUUUGGGAGACAUUGGAUACAUAGUUCGGAUUAAUGGGAUGAAGGAGUUUUACCUUUAGAGGAAAA
rnacentral:lncRNA from 1 species